AAUAGGGGUGGUGAGGCACUGAAAUAGGUUGCUCAGAGAGCUGGUGGAUGCCCUGUCCUUGGAGACACCCAAGGUCAGGCUGGAUGGGGCUCUGAGCACCUGAUGGAGCUGUAGUGACUGCCAUGAGCAGCUCCUUCCCAGCACUCUCAUGAUGAUUGCAUGGUGGGAUUCACUCAGUAAUUUUCUUAUCAAGUGCCUUUAGAUUACAGAAAGCUCUUUCUUGUCCCAAAUUCUAGGCUUGUUUCUUCAUUUUGUAGAAAGACCUCAGCACCUGAAGGUCCUGAUAGCAAUUUCAAGCCCUCAUUGAUGCCACUGUAGCAUCAAGAUGUGCUUGCCGCGCAUCUUCAAGCCCUGACAAUACUUCUAGAUUGCUUAAGUGCUAAUAGUGUCAUGGAGCUCGUUUGCACCUUUCUCCAUCAGUUCCUUGUGUGCAUUUGCAGUUUUUCUGUGAACUGGGUGGUAGAGCUCAAGGAUGAAGAACCAGAGCUGAUGUCAAGCAAACAGCUGGUCCUCCAGCAUCUCACCAUCCUGCCUCCUGCCGAAGCUCAUGUCAACAUGUUCUGCUUUGGAAGCUGCAUUGUGGUUCCAUUUGACAAGGAGUACAAAACAUGCUGAGUACUUUAUGAAGAAAAUAACUGAAAAGAGGAGGAGGAGGGGCAGAUUGAAAAUGAAAUGUGCACUGGUCCUUGUGGUGGCAGCAACUUAGGGCACAUGGGCCCUUCUAACUUGGGAUGCUCUGUCUGGUCCACGAGCCAUAUUGGGUGGAGCUGCAUGUAGACAUGGGAAUGCACAGAACUCCUCAUCUCCUGCUGCCACUGCUUCAGGCAUGUUUCCAGCCACAGACAGGGAAGACCAAGCUCACUGCACCAAGCAAACGAGAAGAAAAAGAUUAAUAGCAUCACUCUCCAGGAAAAACUUCAUCUUCCUGUCCUCAUCUUGCCCUAUGGAGCAUGUUAUCAACUCAAGAAACUCCCAAUAGGAGAGAAAGCAAGUUCACACCCAGCUCUCUGCAGCCCCAGGCUGGAAGAUAGCUCUGCUCAGAGAAUCAUUGAAAAGGCAGCAGAAAUAAAUUUCCCUCCCUGAGCUUUUCAGAGCACAAAAGAUGUGCUUAAACAUGCUGGGAGGUGGCAAUUUGCAAAACAAACAAACAAAAAAAAAAACAAACCAAAAGAUGUUCAUUUUAAUAUCAGCUUGUUUAAAAAUCAGCCUGAAUGCUUUCUUAUUUAACUUUUAAGAAUAAAGAGAAAGGAUCAAGAUGGGACGCC
ensembl:lncRNA